rnacentral:rRNA from 1 species
UCGCCUGUUUAUCAAAAACAUCGCCUCCUGUAACACACUACAUAUAAGAGGUCCAACCUGCCCAGUGACUACAAGUUCAACGGCCGCGGUAUUUUGACCGUGCAAAGGUAGCGCAAUCACUUGUCUUUUAAAUAAAGACCUGUAUGAAUGGCCAAACGAAGGCUUAACUGUCUCCCCUUUCAAGUCAGUGAAAUUGAUCUAUCCGUGCAGAAGCGGGUAUAAUAAUACAAGACGAGAAGACCCUUUGGAGCUUAAGGUACAAAAUUUAGCCACGUCAAGCAACUUAAUAAAAAGCAAAAACCUUGUGGAACAUAAAACUUUACCUUCGGUUGGGGCGACCACGGAGUAAAACAAAACCUCCAAGUGGACUGGGAUAAUAUUUCCUAAAACCAAGAGAGACAUCUCUAAGCCACAGAACAUCUGACCAAGCAUGAUCCGGACACCAAGACCGAUCAACGAACCAAGUUACCCCAGGGAUAACAGCGCAAUCCUCUCCCAGAGUCCAUAUCGACGAGAGGGUUUACGACCUCGAUGUUGGAUCAGGACACCCUAAUGGUGCAGCCGCUAUUAAGGGUUCGUUUGUUCAACGAUUAAAGUCCUACGUGAUCUGAGUUCAGACCGGA